CCUUUUCAGGAGCCAAAAAAACAAAUACAAACAAACAAAAAAAUACCCAGAGAAAAAACUUUCCUUCUUCCCCCUUCCUGAUGAUGAGUGAGAAGUAUUGAGAACUUUCGGGGUCAGUGCCCUUCUAAACUCCCCUUCCCCCAAUAAUGCAGCUGUAUAAUGAAUGGUAAAUGCACCGGUUUGGAUUCAGGCACAGCCCCAGUCUGCCUGCAGGUGGCGUAUGUGUUCGUGUUUUAAUGUAUUCAGAGCCAUUGGGCAAUAAGCAGUCCCGAACAUUGAAAACUCAAGCAGCAGACAACUAAACUGGUAGGUGGCAGCAGAGGAAGGAAUUCUUCAGAUUGAUGGCUACUGACUUAAAGUCUGCAUAGGAGAAGAGAUAGAGCAUGACAUACCAAGUGAAGCAAGGGGGACAAAAAUGGAAACAGGACUAAGAUUCUUGCAUUUUGACUCUAAAUGGUUCUUUUGAAGUAACCAGUGAUCUUUUUUGCUUACCCUCAUCAACAGAAUGGAUGAAGAUAGAUUUGACUGCUUUUUCAAGUGGAGAAUAUGAAUAUACAGAACAAGAAAGCAGUAACUCCAACCUGUUUGAUUCCGUCUAUUUUCUAAAUAAAGACACAAUGCACUGAAAAUAACAUA
rnacentral:sRNA from 1 species